rnacentral:lncRNA from 1 species
UAGUUCAUAUAACAACAUAGUGUUUAAUUAUAAAAUAAAAUUAUUAAAUAGUAAUAAAAAUAAAUUUAAUUAUAUAAAUACGUUAAAGAAAGAUGGUCAAUAUGAUGAUUAUAUGGAUUCAUUUUAUUUUAAAACAUUAAAAAAUCAACAAAAAUUGAUAAAAAAAAUUCAACAAAACUUUUUGAGAAGGAGACAAAGUUACUUCAAAAUAGUAGUCAUAGUAGUGAUCUGAGUAAUAAUAUUUUUAAAAAUAAAAAUACAAAAAAAAACAAAGGUAUACUUUUUUACCUUUUAAAACAUUCCAUUUUUAUAAAAAAUAAAACAAUAAAAAAAAUGAUAAAUAUUAUAUUAUACAUUAAAAAUUUUUUUAUUAAUAUAUGUAAAAAAAUUGUACAUUUUUUUGAGAAUAAUAUGUUAUAUACUUUUCACAUUUUUAAAACGGAGACAAAAAAUAUAAAACCGGCUACAAGAUCUCUUGAUAUCGCUUUUUUAAAAAAUAAAAAGGAUUCUAAAGAAGUAGUAGAUACAGGUUUUAUAAUUUGGAAUAAUCAUAAUAAUGUUAGUAUUGAUUCAGUUGAGGAAAACAAAAAGGAACAGUCAAAUGGAGAAAUAAAAGACAAUGAUGGAGGUGGUGACAAUGAUGGAGGUGGUGGCAAUGAUGGAGGUGGUGGCAAUGAUGGAGGUGGUGGCAAUGUUGGAGGUGGUGGAAAUGGUGACAAAGAUAGCAAUGAUGAAAUAAUAAAUCAUAAACAGUUUAAAGAUACUUUAAACAAAUUGACAGAAGAUAAAACAAAUUUUAAAAUAGAAAAUAAUGAUAUAAUAAGAGAGGAUAAUAACAAUUCGACAAAUCCAUAUUUAAAAAUUAGUGAUAUAUUUAAUAAAAAUAAAUACAACGAUGUUAACUGUGAUAAGGGUAUUGAAAAUUGUGUCGGUGAUACAAAAAAUGAUACAUUUGAUACUGCAAGUUGUACACGUGAUAUGGAUCAAACUUUAUUAAAUAAAGAUAAAAUAUUAGCAAAUAAUCUGAAUAACAAUCUAUUUACAUUAUCUAGUACAUAUAAUGAUGUAUGUGACAGUAAUUUUACAAGUUAUAUGAGUCCAAUGAGUAGUAAUAUGUAUAAUAAUGAGAAAAACCAACUAAGUAGUAUUUAUAGCUUAAGUAAUAAAUAUGAUGAUUAUUACGACAGUAGUUUUAUAAGUGAUAGCAGUUACAACGUAUCUCUGGAUAAUACCUAUGACGACAAUAGUAUGUAUAAUAAUAGUAAUGAGCUUAAUGACACACACAAUAAUAACACA